rnacentral:rRNA from 1 species
UUUAAUGGCUGCAGUAAUUUGACUGUACAAAGGUAGCAUAAUAAUUAGUUUUUUAAUUAAAAGCUUGUAUGAAGGGUUGGACGAAAUAAAAACUGUCUUUAUUUAAUUUAUGGUAGAAUUUAAUUUUUAAAUUAAAAAGUUUAAAUAUUAAUAAAAGACGAGAAGACCCUAUAGAGUUUAAUAUUUAAUUAUAUAUAAUUAAUUUAGAUUUAUUAAUUUUGUAUAUAUUUAAAUAUUUUAUUGGGGUAAUAUAAAGAUUAAAAUAAUUCUUUAAUUUUUUAUUUAUUGAUUUAUAUUUUUUAUUGAUCCAUUAAUAAUGAUUAUAAGUUUAAAUUACCUUAGGGAUAACAGCGUAAUUUUUUUAGAGAGUUCAUAUUGAUAAAAAAGUUUGCGACCUCGAUGUUGGAUUAAAGAUUAAUUUAGGUGCAAAAGUUUAAAUAAUUUGGUCUGUUCGACCAUUAAAUCUUUACAUGAUCUGAGUUCAGACCGGCGUAAGCCAGGUCGGUUUCUAUCUUUAUUAAAUUAAUAUAUUUUAGUACGAAAGGACCAAUUAUUAAUUAUAUUAAUUAAAUUUUGAAUAUUAUUAAAAUUAUUUUGGCAGAUUAGUGCAAUGAAUUUAGAAUUCAUUUAUGUAAUUAUAUUACAAGUAAUACUUGUUUUAUAUAGAUUUUAUUUUUUUAUUUAUUAUUAUAUUAUUAUUAAUCAUUUGUGUUUUAAUUGGAGUAGCUUUUUUAACUUUAUUAGAACGUAA